CUUGGCCCUUCCCUUCCCACGAAGGUGGUUCUGUUCUGCACAAAGCUGGGCUCAGCUCUGAAGCUGACUACGGCACAAAGCAAAUCAAUGCCAAGAGCCACCGAGUCCCACGGCAGCGCAUGCAGGGAUCCCAAGCAGUGUGUCCUUCCUCCAGAGCACGCAGCCUUCUGAUAUCAAGGGCCAUCACUGUGCCACGCUCUGCCCUCCCUCCCCACCAGCCCUGUCUGAUCCGAGCCACCUCUGCCUUCUAGCUGGGAUGUGCGCCGU